GGGGGCGUACUGGCUUCGACGGGGUAUAGAUGGUUUUGAGAGCAUGUCGAGCUUUGAUUGGGUGCUCGUUAAAAAAUCGGUCAAACAAAAUAAAUGCAGAAUCUUUUGUUUCUGUUGUUAAGUCCUUCUUUAGUUCGCUAUUUGGCGGAUCCGAAAUGGUUCCUUCAGUAGCUUAAUUUAGGCACUUAGCCUUGUUGCAAGGCUCACCUGUUGGCUGAGUAACACGUAUAACUUAGACGGGUCUGUUGAGUUAGGAUUUUUGGUUUUGUAGCUCAAUUAGUAUCACCAAACCGACUUGCAAACUGAUCUUUGCUUUCAAGGUGGCUUGCACAGUAUAAUUGGAAGAUAAGCAUGUAGCGCUUGAAGCUUGACAUAUUUCGGACAUGGGUUCGAUUCCCAUCGCCUCCACCA
rnacentral:tmRNA from 1 species